GAUGAACGCUGGCGGCGUGCUUAACACAUGCAAGUCGAACGAUGAAGCCCAGCUUGCUGGGUGGAUUAGUGGCGAACGGGUGAGUAACACGUGAGCAACCUGCCCCUGACUCUGGGAUAAGCGCUGGAAACGGCGUCUAAUACUGGAUAUGUCCCGUCACCGCAUGGUGUGCGGGUGGAAAGAUUUUUCGGUUGGGGAUGGGCUCGCGGCCUAUCAGCUUGUUGGUGAGGUAAUGGCUCACCAAGGCGUCGACGGGUAGCCGGCCUGAGAGGGUGACCGGCCACACUGGGACUGAGACACGGGCCAGACUCCUACGGGAGGCAGCAGUGGGGAAUAUUGCACAAUGGGCGGAAGCCUGAUGCAGCAACGCCGCGUGAGGGAUGACGGCCUUCGGGUUGUAAACCUCUUUUAGCAGGGAAGAAGCGAAAGUGACGGUACCUGCAGAAAAAGCACCGGCUAACUACGUG
rnacentral:rRNA from 1 species